GCAAGGAAUUUUGGGCAAUGGGCGAAAGCCUGACCCAGCGACACCGCGUGAGGGAAUAAGGCCUUCGGGUUGUAAACCUCUUUUCCUGGGGAAGAAUCUCGACGGUACCCAGGGAAUAAGCCUCGGCCAACUACGUGCCAGCAGCCGCGGUAAUACGUAGGAGGCGAACGUUAUUCGGAUUUACUGGGCGUAAAGGGAGCGUAGGCGGUUCCUUAAGUCGGAUGUGAAAUCUUCUGGCUCAAUCGGAAGGCGCCAUUUGAUACUGAGGAACUUGAGAGCAGCAGAGGGAAAUGGAAUCUGCAGUGUAGCGGUGAAAUGCGUAGAUAUUGCAGAGAACACCAGUGGCGAAGGCGGUUUUCCAGGCUGUUUCUGACGCUGAGGCUCGAAAGCGUGGGGAGCGAAGCGGAUUAGAUACCCGUGUAGUCC
rnacentral:rRNA from 1 species